rnacentral:rRNA from 1 species
CAGUCGCCGCGGGAAUACAGAGGGUGCGAGCGUUAAUCGGAUUUACUGGGCGUAAAGCGUGCGUAGGCGGCUUCUUAAGUCGGAUGUGAAAUCCCUGAGCUUAACUUAGGAAUUGCAUUCGAUACUGGGAAGCUAGAGUAUGGGAGAGGAUGGUAGAAUUCCAGGUGUAGCGGUGAAAUGCGUAGAGAUCUGGAGGAAUACCGAUGGCGAAGGCAGCCAUCUGGCCUAAUACUGACGCUGAGGUACGAAAGCAUGGGGAGCAAACAGGAUUAGAGACCCGCUAGUCCCUGUCUCUUAUACA